rnacentral:ncRNA from 2 species
CGCUUAUAGAGAAAGGCCGAGGGAAUAGACCCGCUGAAGCCUUAGCAACCUGUCCAUUGACAAGGUGCUACAUUCUACUCUGCAAAUAGCGGAGAAAGAUAAGCU